GGAGUUUGGACCGUGUUUCAGUUCCAAUGUGGCCGAUCAUCCUCUCAAAUCGGCUACCCAUCGUCGCCUUGGUGGGCCGUUACCCCGCCAACAAGCUAAUGGGACGCGGACUCAUCCCUGCACGGAAACUUGCAAGCAGAGGUCUCCUUUCCCCUCAUUGUAAGACAAGGGCGUAUCCGGUAUUAUCGACCGUUUCCAGUCGCCUAUUCCAGUUGCAGGGGCAGAUUAUCCACGCGUUACUCACCCGUGCGCCACUCUACUCGGGGCCGAAGCCCCUUUCGCGUUCGACUUGCAUGUGUUAAGCACGCCGCCAGCGUUCAAU
rnacentral:rRNA from 1 species